rnacentral:tmRNA from 1 species
AUUGGUUUCGACGGGGAUGAUAGAGGUGAAAGAAGCGAGCUGCGGACUCCGGGGCCGCAUCAACAACCUGGAAUAAAAAAUAAACGCAAACAACGAUAAUUACGCUUUAGCUGCUGCUUAAGAAAGCAGCUACGUCUCUCCUAUAGUUCCCGCGCUAUAGGAAGGGGCGACAACUUAAGCGGGGAACUAGCCUAACAAAGCUUUGAGUUAGGUCGGACUUUAUGAAGCUACUGAAGCUGGAAUCCUGUCAGUGGGAGUCCAGUGGAGGGAAAGUCAAAACACUGACUGCGCUCGGAGAUGCUUUCGCUGAUAUAUCCUCGGACAGGGGUUCGAUUCA